UUCUACUUGCUGGAAUAAAAGCUCUGUAGCAAACAGCUAAUGGUUACUGAGCUCUCACAAUGUUCAUUUGGGGGAGCCAUAGCUUUCUUGAAGCAGGUCAUCGUAGGGGUCCCUGCGGCCAGGCACCUGGCUAAUCUGAGCAUCCCAAGCAAGCUGGGCAUUGUGGCGCUCGAAUGUCCAGAAUCCAUAAGGACGGAGAGGGUAACUCCACAUCUCCUUGGUCUUGUUGCAUCGAUCCUUCACAGCGUAUACAUGCUCCCUGAACUUGCGAUCCCUCUCCUUCGGAUCCUCCAUUAACCUCAGAACCAAAUGCUCAGCGAAUUCCAUGAUAAAUCCCAUCCUUACUCAAAAAACCCUGUUGAGAGCUUACAACUCGCGAAGCAGAGAAGCACCAAAGGUUGCUAGCACUCGACUGAUUCC
rnacentral:misc_RNA from 1 species